AGUGGGAUUGAUGGAUCAUACGGUAGUUCUAUUUUUAAUUUUUUAAGGAACCAGCAUACUGUUUGCCAUAAUGGCAGCAGCAAACUGCAUUCCUGGG